GGAUGUGAGGGCAAUCUGGCUGCGACAUCUGUCACCCCAUUGAUCGCCAGGGUUGAUUCGGCUGAUCUGGCUGGCUAGGCGGGUGUCCCCUUCCUCCCUCACCGCUCCAUGUGCGUCCCUCCCGAAGCUGCGUGCUCGGUCCAAGAGGACGACCUUCCCCGAUAGAAGAGAGGACGGUUCUUCAGUCAAGCAUAUAGGAGUAGCUGCGCUCCCCUGCUAGAACCUCCAAACAAGCUCUCAAGGAUCUGUACAAGGAUCUGUACAUUGAAGAAAUGAUUUUAUGUAGGGAAACCAAGGAAGCCACUACUCAAAAUAUUAGCACUUGAGUUGAGAUUUGUCUAAUUUUCACU
rnacentral:snRNA from 1 species